UACGUAGGGGCCUAGCGUUGUCCGGAUUUAUUGGGCGUAAAGAGCUCGUAGGCGGUUUGUCGCGUCUGCUGUGAAAACGCGAGGCUCAACCUCGCGCCUGCAGUGGGUACGGGCAGACUAGAGUGCGGUAGGGGAGAUUGGAAUUCCUGGUGUAGCGGUGGAAUGCGCAGAUAUCAGGAGGAACACCGAUGGCGAAGGCAGAUCUCUGGGCCGUAACUGACGCUGAGGAGCGAAAGCGUGGGGAGCGAACAGG
rnacentral:rRNA from 1 species